CGGUAUAUACGCGGAUGGCCUUCGACCAGGUGUCCCAUAGCCGGUGGAGGAGAGAAACUCGUAAAGUGACUCUCUCGCCCGGUUUUUGGAUGCCCUCUUCCGUUUUCUGAUGCCGACUCAUGACUGGGUCGUUGUCAUCUCUGAAGCAACGGGGGGAGUAAAGAUAGAAUGAAAAAAAAAAAACCGAAUUGAAAGGAAUGGAGAAAAACAGGAGAUGAAAAGAUUUUCACCCACUCUAUUGUCCACUAGAUUUCAGCAUUUUCCUCCCCUUUUUGGACGCACGACAAAUGCCGCGCAUCGGAAAUGCCGAAAAGUGAAACCCAAUGAAACCGCCGAGGAGCAUCAAUAACGAAAAAUGACUGUUAAAACUGCGCGUGUUAACUAUGCAGUCAUAUGAGUCGUGAAGCAAACUGACGGUUGAAUUGCACGAGCUGUAAAUCGACGCGCGAGAUAUUCUGAAAUGCAAAUGAUCUUACCGAACGUUUCAUAGGAGUUGGAAGAGGAAAGCCUCAUUCCACGGACACGCUGAACAUAACCAACCCGUGAUGCUGAUGUGAAGUGGGGAAAAAGAGAGAAAAGGAAAUUUGAAAAUGUUACGGCUAUGUUCUUCAAGUUGGUCUGUCCGUUUGGUUUUAUGGGGUCUUCGGAGUACUUCGUAAUUCUUACCCGAUGCGUACGUCCAACAUCUCUCAACCGGUGGUUUUCACCGAUUUUGUGGCUCGGAGUGGGUGAAGAACGGGACCUUAGCCUAACCCAUGGAAUCCCGUGUUGCGCGAGGUGAGGGAGGAAGUCGAGCCAUCACUGGGUCGUUUGAGUUUCGACGAUGUUGCUGAAGGGGAGACAUGUACGAACGAAGGGCAGAAGGUAGAAGAAAGAAAGUGCCGUCCGGAGAAGUGCGGGAGAAGAGUGGUAUCAUUUCGACGAGAAAGUGAGCGUUGCCAAAAACUACUGGGGUGGUCAGUUGACUUGUACAGAAGGGACAUGAGGGGGAUGGACUCUCAAAGUAGUAUUUGGAAAACUACAAGAAGAGAGGGGAAUCAACGACUAUACACAGAGACAAGCACCUGCAUACUGCCCUUGGUAUAACACGUUAGUGGGUCUAGGGAGCGAAAAGGCCAAAACUGACAGGACAAUACAACCACCCGCCACCGAAUGACCAUUGUCCAUCCCGCGUGGUGGAUGGUGUGCCCUGUGUCACGCCUUUAUAGCAUUAUUAUUCCCCAGGCGUGUAAUCCUAAUUCCAUCAGUACAGGUAUCCAACAUCCCUUUCGGCCUUUAUUUAAUCAGUAUUUAUAUCCUUUUGAGCUCAACUAUCCAGCGCUAAGUAAAGUGAAUCAAUGACAUUUUUUAAUGAAAUCAUAGGCGAGCAGAAGGAAUUAUUUGUAUUAUUUACCGUUCAGUAGCAUUUACUUGGUUUUCCGAAAUAAAUAAUAUUUAUCGGUCAAUGAAAGUUGCAUAAAUUUUCCGAAUAAAUAAUUAACUCAGUCCGACAAUUGAUUCUAUCUGGAAUACCAAUGACAGUGCAACAAAACUCAGAUGAAAACAUCGUCGGGAUUACAUCCAAUUUAUUUCCUAAUCUCAUAACCAGACAUCAGUUCUCUCACUCAUAAUGUUGAAUAGCUGGACAAAGGUGGGAGGUCAUUGAUCGUCCCGCCUUCAUUCACUGUGGUUCUGGUAUAGCAAGUCUACAAGGCCCCCUCGCACACGCGGUUGAUACCAACACACGUGACUGAUCCCAAGAUAGAGGUAUAUCAGCAGCGUGCGAGUUUAGAUGCGCGUAGACGCUGGUAUAUAACCACGCCACGGAUGUUCCAGUGACGCUUUUCUCAAGGGGGAAGACUAAAAGCGUUCGUAGCCUUGACCCUGCACUGCAUUCAACUCAUAAUUUUCAAUUUAACAUUGAUAAUUUCGAAAAAAAAACGUCACACAGAGAAAAAGUUUGUCAAAGUCAGGAGAAAGAAAUGUGAAGAGGGCAAUAAAGCGAGUAUUUAAAUAUUGCCAGGAAAUUUUGUUGAAUUUGUGCGUAAUUUUUCCUAAAUAUUUAUCCCCCGAGCCCUGAAUGAGGUGGUGGGAAGAAAAUGCCAAAAUACUUGCUUGUCGAUGGGAA